UACACCCGUUCCCAUUCCGAACACGACGGUUAAGCCUUUUAGAGCCCAUGAUACUGCAGGGGAGGCCCUGUGGGAAAGUAGGUCGUCGCCAGUU
rnacentral:rRNA from 1 species